rnacentral:rRNA from 1 species
CGGAGGGUGCAAGCGUUAUCCGGAUUCACUGGGUUUAAAGGGUGCGUAGGUGGGCAGGUAAGUCAGUGGUGAAAUCCUUGAGCUUAACUCGAGAACUGCCAUUGAUACUAUCUGACUUGAAUGUUGUGGAGGUGAGCGGAAUAUGUCAUGUAGCGGUGAAAUGCUUAGAUAUGACAUAGAACAUCUAUUGCGAAGGCAGCUCACUACGCAAAUAUUGACACUGAGGCACGAAAGCGUGGGGAUCAAACAGGAUUAGAUACCCUGGUAGUCCACGCCCUAAACGAUGGAUACUCGACAUACGCGAUACACAGUGUGUGUCUGAGCGAAAGCAUUAAGUAUCCCACCUGGGAAGUACGACCGCAAGGUUG